AGAGUUUGAUCAUGGCUCAGGAUGAACGCUAGCGGCAGGCCUAAUACAUGCAAGUCGAACGGACCGCAAGGUCAGUGGCAAACGGGUGCGUAACGCGUAAUCAACCUACCCUCCACUGGGGUCUAGCCCGGCGAAAGCUGGGGUAAUCCCGCAUACGUCCCUUCCGUGGCUUCACGGGGGGGGGAAAGGUUUACUGGUGGAGGAGGGGAUUGCGUCUGAUUAGGUAGUUGGUGGGGUAACGGCUCACCAAGCCGAUGAUCAGUAGGGGCUCUGAAAGGAGGGUCCCCCACAUGGACACUGCGACACGGGUCCAACUCCUACGGGAGGCAGCAGUGGGGAAUAUUGGGCAAUGGAGGAAACUCUGACCCAGCGACGCCGCGUGCGGGAUGAAGGCCUUCGGGUUGUAAACCGCUUU
rnacentral:rRNA from 1 species